UUAACGAGUCCUUAACGAGUCUUUAAUGAGUUCUUAGGGAGUCUUUAAUGAGUCCUUAUGGAGUCUUUAAUGAGUUCUUAACGAGUCCUUAACGAGUCUUUAAUGAGUUCUUAGGGAGUCUUUAACAAGCUCUUUAAGAAUCCUUAAGGAGUCCUUAAGUCCAACAUGCUCUCACUUUAGUCUAAAAAACGGUUGAAGUCAGGAACGAGUCAGCUAGGUAUUAAAGUGACGCAACAUGUGAUGUCACAGCACCCCAUGACAUCACAAACGGUGUGAGACUUUCACCACCAGAGGGCAGCAGAGUUACUCUUUAGAUUUUAAUUUUAAUUUAUUUUGAUAGUUUUAAAAAUAAAUAAAUAUAGAGGCAAUAAACACACAGGUGUCAUUGGGUCAUGUUUACUGUUUUACUUGUUUUCGCCCGUUUGUCUCCAUAAGUCAACAGAAUAAUUUGAUCACAUGUUAAAUAAUCGACUCUUUCCUCUAAUAUUUACUCAUCAGUCAGCGUAACAUUAAACUUCUUGAGCAAAUAUUUCACCUUAAAGUUGUCCAAAAACGUGUGUAGCCAUAAUCCUCAGCAGGCUUUUAAUGUGAAAUAUCUGCAGGAAGUUUAAGAAAGACUAAAAGUAUUAAAGUAUCGUCCUCAUGUCGUCAGUCUGUCAAACCCAUAGAUCAGCUUUGUUUCAGCUGCUGUCUCCCCACAUGCCCACUCUCAUCUGAUUGGCCAGCUCUCUGGAAGCGUUACGGGAGGGGGGGAGGGGGGGGCAGAACGCUGCAGGGCUGCCAGGCGAGGGCUGCUCUCCAGAGCUGGGAGAAGAGAGUCUAUGUAAGAGGUUUCAGAGGCUUAUCUUGGUUUCAUAUCGGGGAACUAUGGCGUGAUUUACAGGACGAGUCGUUUAGCGCCCUCUGCAGACUCAUCCUGGGAUUACUCCAACACACGUUUACCUCCUGAUCUGAAACUUAGCCCACGUUUAGUUUGAACAUCCAGCAUUGUAACACGGCUUUAAAUAAGACUGUAAGACACCAAAUAACCACAGAUCUUUCAUUUCAACAUAUUUAACUUCAAACGUUGCACGAUGUAAUCUUUGUAAUCUUUUCAGCUCUGAAACAGCUUUUGUUGAUUUGUGUCCGCCGAGGCUCUUAUUUUGAAGGCCUCCGCUGUUUGUAGAUCUGUGUGGUCACUUCCUACCUGUCGUUGGCUCUCAGGUGAAUCUUCAGUUCGAUGGACAACAAGUCAAAGCUGCAGCACUUUCUCUGCUUGAUGCACAAAAAUAUUUAUACAGCUUCAGAUAUCAAACAUGUAACCUUGAAUGAAUAAAUAAUAACGAUAUAUUCCUGUCAAGUCACGUUCAGUUUGUUAAAGAACCAAAGGUCAAAGGUCCUGCUGAGAACUCAACGUGCAGCAGCGAGAGCAAGAAGAAAUCACAGUCACAGAGUUUCAUUUAAAAGACUCAUGUUUACUUCUUAUUCAAACAAAAUUAAAAACAGGACAGUUCUGGUGCUUACCGUUUUUAAAUUUAAAAUAAAUAGGUCAGAGAAGUUUUAGAAUUGCUUUCAGUAGAUAGUUCGAGCCUGCAGCUGUGAAACAGGCUGUAAUAUCUUUCUUUCAAGCCACCAAACUUCAUUGAGAAAAAUAGUAAUUUAAGCGAUCACGAGUGGCUGAUGUACCGCUGCGGAGUCACUUUGUUUGUUUGUGUGACUCACAAUAACACAAAUCUGUGCAGCAGUAGAGCAGCAACUCCUGUCCUGUGAGGUCAAAUUUCAGAUUUUAUCGAUGUAGUUGGUCGGUUUGUAGAGAGGGAUGUAACAGCUGUUUGUGUUUUUAAAAAAAAAAUCAUCUUCCUCCAUCCACUCAUCUUUCGCUUAUCUGAGUUUGGGUCGUGGCAGCAGGCGAAAUAAGUAAACCCAGACGUCCGUCUCCCUAACAACGAUCUCCAACUCCUCCUCAGGAUUCUGAGGCAUUCCCCAGGCCAGACGGGAUAUAUAACCCCUCCAGCUAACUCUGGGUCUACCUCUACGUCUCCUCUCAGUUGGAAAACCUCCAAAGGGUUUUCUUUCUUUAAAGGAGCAGUAUGUAACUCUGACCCCUAGUGGUUAAAAUGAGUACUGCAGUCUCUAAACAUCAUAGAGCGCUGUCUCCCCCCCCCCCUCCUCUCUAGAGUCCAUGCUCACUCAGGUCACCAUGUGGUGGACUCUGAAGCUUCAGUGUUUAUCCAGCUCUGCAUGGGUCUGUAAACCUUUCUGUGUUCUAACCUCUCUCCAUUUUUCAAAAGCAUCUCCAAUAUUGAUCCUAGUUUGAGCACGUUUCUGCUCGUGGAGCUUAUUAGAAACAUGCAGAGGCUUUUUAGGUCAGGUACAAUCUCUUCUAUCUGAACCACUUCUCUUGCCCGCUUCCAUCGCUGCAACACCUGUUGACCUGAUAACUGCUCUCAUAUCUGGCAAACCGAGGGGCGUCCAAAACGGGCCGUGUGGGGCGUGUCUUAAAAGCGCCUACCUUCUCUGGUCCAAACAAAUCCAGAGCAUUCAGGAGCAGAAUCUAAAGUUAGAAGGAGGACAUACUGGCUGCUGCAUUGUUGUCAGAGAAGCCAGCACUUCAACAUAGUCGGGGGGCGCAGGUAGACUAGUGGUUAGUGUGCAUGCCCCAUGUAUAUACAGGCUGUAGUCCUCUAAAGUGGGCGGCCUGACCUGUGACCCCUUUACUGCAUGUCGUUCUCCUCUUUCUCUCUCUCUCUCUAACCCCCCCCCCCCCCCCCCGAUUUCUAACUCUAUCCACUGUCCUGUCUCUAAAUAAAGGCUUAAAAAGCCCAAAAAUAAACCUUUAAAAAGAAAAAGUUUAAGAAAUAGAGAGUCCGGUUUUAAGGGAGCAGGUGCUGCGAACGUUGAGCUCUCAGCUGCUCAGGUCUCAUGUUUAACUCUUUGUUCACAUGUUGAUGAAGCUUCAGAGUUUUUCAGGGAAGACUCACUACUUUAGAGAAACUGUGACAUGAGUUUGGUAUGGUUCAGAUUUCUGAGGUUUUCUGUUUCAGUCAAAGCAGAUUUGUACUUUCUUUCCCCUCCUCUACAGUCUGUUACAAACCUGGUUCAUUUCUCCAAAACCAAAAGUAUCGAGGAAAUUGUUGACAUGUUUUCCUGCCUGCUAUGUGAUUGGUUGAUUGGUCAAUCUUUGGACCAAUGAGUGUGAAUCUUCCCUCUGCAGCUUCUUAAAGGUGUGUUCAGACCAGGAGCGAUCGAAGUGGUUCCAAACAGAGACAACAGUUUACCUGAAUCCUGCAAAUGUGAAAGAAAUGCUGGUCCUGAUCCUAACAGGUCAUCAGACUGAGACCUGGUCCUGAUCCUAACAGAUCAUCAGACUGAGACCUGGUCCUGAUCCUAGCUAACAGGUCUUCAGACUGAGACCUGGUCCUGAUCCUAACAGGUCAUCAGACUGAGACCUGGUCCUGAUCCUAGCUAACAGGUCAUCAGACUGAGACCUGGUACUGAUCCUAGCUAACAGAUCAUCAGACUGGGACCUGGUCCUGAUCCUAGCUAACAGGUCAUCAGACUGAGACCUGGUCCUGAUCCUAGCUAACAGGUCAUCAGACUGGGACCUGGUUCUGGUCUGGUCGGGUUCUGAUUCCCUUCUGGUCUGAACACAGUGAAUUGAAUCCUGCUUUUUGUUUUCAUGUCUUUGCGUUAAGUGACUGUAUGUACAGAUAAUACUCACAUGUAAACUGAUAUUUUAGAAAUUAAACAAAUCCUACAGAACCUGAAAA